rnacentral:rRNA from 1 species
UGCGUAGGCGGUUGGGUAAGUCAGAGGUGAAAUUCCGGGGCUCAACCUCGGAACUGCCUUUGAUACUGCCUGACUAGAGUACUGGAGAGGAGACUGGAAUUCACGGUGUAGCAGUGAAAUGCGUAGAUAUCGUGAGGAAGACCAGUGGCGAAGGCGAGUCUCUGGACAGUUACUGACGCUGAGGCGCGAAAGCGUGGGGAGCAAACA